UGAGGAGGCUGAGGCUGACCCAAAGACUGAGAGAUGUGAGUUCAGUUCCCAGCUGAGUCACAGGAUUUCUAUGCAAUCCAGAGGAGUUGCUUACUCCCUGGACAUGCAGAUGCAAAUUCCUGCAGCUCUGUAAGAGGCUUCUCUGCUUCCGUGGACCGGUUAUACCAGAAGGAAAUAUGGCUCCAACCCUUCCUGCCCCUCAUUGCGACAUGGAUGGUAGCGCUUCCCUAGAUCUCAAGGAUCCUGUACUACUGAUAAAAUCACUGAUGUCUCUGGGAUAUAAACCUUGAUUCUGUUAAUCCAGCGUUGAUGCCUGUUUCAUUCUGACAAGGACAUUUUGUGAUUCUUUGAAACAAUGCAAUGCUUGAGAAUGAAAAGAAAAGAGAAUAUUUUGACUUAAGAAAAGCUACUAUGGAAUCAGGAACUGUUGGCUGAGCCACAGAUUUCACACUCGUAUUCUGAAGCAGGCCACAAAAACAACUCCUGUCCAUGGUAGAUGUCAGACCACUGACUAACACUUAACCAAUGAGUAAGUCUACUUAAUUGCCAUUAUUGUGUGAUCGGCUGAAAUGUGUACUUCUGACACAGUGUCAUUACCUUUUGAUUUAGGCGCAAUUUUUUACAACUCCAUUUCCAUUUCAAGCAAAUCUUGAAUCACCAUUAAUAAAUACAUCUAAGCAACAGGUUUUCUGUAUCUAUAGUUUCAGGGAGACUUCUUAUUCUAGAGAGCACA